rnacentral:rRNA from 1 species
CGUGCAGGUGGUCUUCUAAGUUUCGUGUGAAAUCCCACGGCUCAACCGUGGAACGGCACGGAAAACUGGAAGACUUGAAUACGGGAGAAGAGGGCGGAAUUCCCAGUGUAGAGGUGAAAUUCGUAGAUAUUGGGAGGAACACCGGUGGCGAAAGCGGCUCUCUAGACCGAUAUUGACGCUCAUACGCGAGAGCGUGGGUAGCAAACA